UGCACAUAAAUAACACCAUAGCAAUUCUGCUGAAAACAGCGUCAGUCCGGGUUAGUUCCAUUCAAAUCAUGCAAGUUAGAGUCCAAAACAAGGGCAAAAGUGUUUGGAAAAGUAGAUACGUCGAAGACGUAUCACGAGCGCUGGUGACCCUCGUCGUAUUUCCCUCACCGGAGAUCAGAGCGCCGCCGCACACUCAGGCUCGCCGGCAUCGCAGACCCGCCAUGGCUCCUAGGGCACGCCAUGGCAUGGUCCUCAAGCUCCUGAAGCCGUGCGACCUGGCUGCGUCCGGGGAUGCUGGAACCGUCCCGUCCCGGUGCUGCGACCAACAAGUACCCAACCCCCCUGCUACAACGGCGCACCUCGAUGGUGGUGUUGCAAACAGCACCAGGGGAUGCUUCAACCGCUUGAAAAAAAGCUUCAAAUGACAUCGGAAAAAGCUUCAACCAUGAAAGAAGCUACAGCCGGCUUAGAAAAAAAGCUUCAGACAUGGAAAAAUGCUUCAUCCGGCGUCAAGAAAAGCUUCAACCGGUGUAAAAAAAUGUUUCGAUCGGAAUGGGAAAAAACUCCACCCAACCCCCUGCUACAACGGCGCACCCCGACGGUGGUGUUGCAAACAGCACCAGGGGAUGCUUGAACUGCUUGAAAAAAGCUUCAAAUGGCAUCGAAAAAGCUUCAACCAUGAAAAAAGCUACAGCCGACUUAGAAGAAAAAGCUUCAGACAUGGAAAAAUGAUUCAGCCGACGUCAAGAAAAGCUUCAACCGGUGUAAAAAAAUGUUUCAAUCGGAAUGGGAAAAAGCUUCAACCAUGGCAGAAAAGCUUCAUCCGGUGUGGAAAAAAGCUUCAAUCGGUGUGGAAAAAAGCUUCCGCUAUGAAACUUUCAAAAAACGAGCGUUGGUGAGAGCUACGGGGCGACAGCGAAAGCUGCAACAAGCGUUGACGAGAGCUACAAGCGGGUAUGGAAAAAGCUUCAACGUUUGCAGCUAUGGCGUGGUCAGUUGUAACUCCGGCAAGGCAAGUAGAGCUCGGGUGGCACGGAUUCAUGCAGAUCUGGCCGAGGGCGGCUGGAUCGGCUAAUUCCCGUGGUCGCGGCGCCCUGAGACAGCAAUGGUAGACCAUGACGGGGGCCUGAGAAAAGAAGCAGAGAAGAAGCGAGGGAGGAAGAAGAGAAAAGAAGGAAGGAGAAUAAUAAGAGGGAGUCUGCGUGCAGGCACUUUGACCGUGUGACGCGUGACCGGCUUGGCCGGCGCGCCGUUUUCAAACGUUUCCCAUCCUGCAUUUACCGCGCCCACCAUCGCACGUUCGGCCACUCCCCACACGACCCGAGCUCGAGACCAUGUCCUAUAAGAACCCCAUGAGCUCAUCUGGAUUUUUGCCCCAACUUAUGUCGUCCCUCGCCGUUGGGCUGCGCCUUCGUGAACCCACCUCGUACGCCUUCUGCCAGAGCCGCCGCCAGCCAAAUUUCUGUAAGCCACCCCCACUAACGCCUUCACCACAUCCAGAGGCACCCCGCCAGACACCCUUCGCGCCUCCAAAUUCAACACUUCCCCCAGAGCUCGAAUCCGUUGAGGGUCGAGCCUCGUCGUCGCCGCGAGCUCGACGUCGGGAAGGAUUGUCCGCAUCGAAGGAGAGACACAAAGUAGGGUUAUGAUGCUAUACUCAAGUUUUAGCUGUGAAAUGAAUGCCACAAGAUAAUAUUGUAAUUCCGUUGCAUGAUUGUAUAAGCUAGCCUUGAGCUAGAUUGGUAUCUAUUCUAAAGAGACUGAAUCUAUGAUGUAAUACUAUGACUGCAAUGCAAUAUUAUGACAUGUGAUGUAUCUUGGUAUUUGAUCA